CAGUCGCCACGGUAAUACGAAGGGGGCUAGCGUUGUUCGGAUUUACUGGGCGUAAAGCGCACGUAGGCGGACUUUUAAGUCAGGGGUGAAAUCCCGGGGCUCAACCCCGGAACUGCCUUUGAUACUGGAAGUCUUGAGUAUGGUAGAGGUGAGUGGAAUUCCGAGUGUAGAGGUGAAAUUCGUAGAUAUUCGGAGGAACACCAGUGGCGAAGGCGGCUCACUGGACCAUUACUGACGCUGAGGUGCGAAAGCGUGGGGAGCAAACAGGAUUAGAUACCCCCGUAGUCCCUGUCUCUUAUAA
rnacentral:rRNA from 1 species